AGUGUUAAAGGGCCAAGCGUCCGUGAGACUCUUCGCAGGGACGUGAUGGAGCGUUGCUGACCCGGGGGAGGCGCCUCUGGCGCUGGGUGGAGGCCUGGGAACUCACUGCACGUGUGCCCAGGCCCCUCGGCCCUGCGCGAGUCUCCGCGGCCUUUCAGCCAGGAGAGCCCACGGCUGCCGGGCCCUGUGGGCACCCUCCGGGGUAAGACCGGCCCUGCCAGGCUCUUGUGCCCCUGCGCAGUCGCAGCGCCCGGCCACGCACGUGGGGCCAGGACCCGCCACACUCCCGGGACAGCUGCCUCCAAACCGGCUGCUGCUGCGCGGUGUCAGGCACCAGCUGUAGCUGGUGGGCGCUUUGCAGAGCAGGACGGUCAUUUGCACCGCGUGGGGAUUGCUGGCCAGUCUCCAGUUAUUGCACAGGUCACCAGUCAAUUGUGUAAUCCUUCCUCUACACCCCAUGCCAGCCAGGACAGGAGAAGGAAGUGCUCCCAGGCCUUCCCAGAUGGUGAGGAUUGGCAUCAUGGGAAUUCAUAUGGGAACCAACAAACUUUUUUUUUUUUGCAAAAAAAAAAAUAUGUAGGUAGACAGAUGGUAGGGCUGUGCAACGCUUUGGGUGGUGAUUCAAUUUGGAGAUUUGGCCUGCUUCGGCAGCUGAAUCUUCGAAUCCGAAUCGAAUCAGGAGACCAAUAAAAAGGUCUGAAUCAAUUCGAAGCUCUCUGAAUCGCUUUGGAAAAGAUUCAGAGAGCUUUGGAGAUUUGGGCAGUCACUGCUGCAGGGAGCUGGACCUGGACUCCAUGCGGGCCAAAGCCCUCCCGUCCAGCACUGCAGGGUUCGGCUGUUUUGUGGCAGUUCUGCAGCACUGGGACCCCCUGUUCUCUGCCAUGUGGAGCCAGGGGCAUCCUUGGUUCCUCUCCCUCCACAGGACUGGACUGAGUCAAGUCAGAGGCAGAGCAGGUAUAGGAUCUGCAUACUGAUGCAGCUGUUCACCUUGGAUAUGAUUCCAGAGAUUUGUAAUAAUAAAUAUGUUAGUUCAACA